UAUAUACUCCCUCCGUCCGGAAAUACUUGUCAUCAAAAUGGAUAAAAGGGAUGUAUCUAGAUGUAUUUUAGUUUUAGAUACAUCCCUUUUGUCCAUUUUGAUGACAAGUAUUUUCGGACGGAGGGAGUAUAAU
rnacentral:pre_miRNA from 1 species